GAAGAAAUGUGUUUUACAAGGGAAAAUUAGGAAGUUCUUUGCCGAGGAGGAAGAUAUUUGAGACCAGAAGGUCUGCAGGGAUUUGGUGAUAUUUUGACAGACUUCAAAAACUGUCUUAGGACAGUGAUCUGGUCAAAAGCCCUUUGUAGGACUGUCUCCAUGGAUUCCCCAGGAUAUUUAUAAACAGAAUCCCCUGUGUCAGACUUCAGAGUGUCAUGAACCACAGAAUGAAGCCCUCCAUGUCUGCAGUAGGCAUAUCAGAAAUGCUGCAAAGCCUCAGAAGGGAAGAGUGGAUGUUGCUCACUGCUCAUCACAGAGGAUCUACCUGGUGUGGGUGCUGUCUGGUCAUAAACCUGUCCAAAUCCGUUAUUUUAGGUCUCCUGCAGCUCUGUCUUGGCCAAAAGGGUGCUUUACCUCCAGCUUUUCUCUGUGGCUUCAGCACCCCUCUUCCUUGGGGCCCUCCUUUUUUCUACUGGGACCAGCCCGUCCAUCCCAGAAACCAUCCUGAGGCUGGGAGGCAGUCAGCACAGGAGCCUGGCCUCAGCUUGGCUUUCCCCCUAUAUCUAUAUCGUAAAAAAUGGCAGUGGAUAAUGUCACUAGUGACCUUGUGCUUGUGGUCAGGGGCUGCAACUCCUGCAACUGUACAAAAUUCAGGAACAGAGGGCAGAGAGGUGGGGUCCCAGGACUGCCUGCGUAGUAGAGCUGCACCAUGGAGCUCCAGCUAUGCUCUGGGUGCCUGCUCAGAAGUUCUACCUAGCUCUCUGCCUUGGCACAUCUUCUCAUCUUCGCAUGGAAAUGAAUUGUCUGACUCUCAGUGGUGGCAGUCUCUGUUACAUAAAUUAACCAUUUUUUAUUCAGUGGCUGAGCAAAGAGUCUCCACAAAGGAAAUUGAGUAAUUGUUUUUUUUGUGUGUGUGUGUCUGUGUUCAUUUGUUUUUAAGCUGAAAAGAUAUUUCAUUCACUCAAUUUCUAGUCAAUUGAAGAUUUUCUUUCAAAAUUAAUAUACAGACAAUGCUGUCCCUCGAGACCAAACAUGAAGAAUUAGAGGCCCAGCAGAGAGUUUAUCAUAAAGUUAGCAGCCUGUGAAAGCCAAUGCUCCUAACAGAAAUUUAUAGAUUUUAAAUCCAGAAAGGACAUUGUGAAUGUGUAAUAUGACCUCUUGCUUAACACAACCCAUAGACUUUUACUUAGAAAUUUGCACAAAGCCCACACUAACUAAACCCAGUCAUUUUGACAAUAUAGUUGGUCUCACUUCAACAACUCAAAACUUAAAGACAUGCCCUCUUUUUUUUUUUUUUUUUUUUUUUUUCUUUUUUUUUAAUUAUUUUAAAUUUUAAACAUUUUCCUUUUUUUUUUUUUUUUUUUUUUUUUUCCCCAGUGUGUAACUGCUUUAAACAUUACAAGAUUUUGCCCUAUUUCUAUCGUGAUUUUGUCGUAACUGUGAUACACCUCUGUGUCUGAUCCAUAAGGAGUCUUUUCACAUCCAAGCUCUUCUCUCCACUGAUCAUCUCAUGACUAUAGACAAAUGCUCUUCUCCUCGAUCCUGCAGACUAACGAGAAUGAGCUUCCUUGUGUUUGAUGAAAAGCUGGGUUUUACAGAACCUGAAUCAUUCUUGUCGCUGUGGCUGGAUUUUCAUUCUUAUUAUCAAUUAAUUUGUUUAAUGUUUAUCUGGUGUUUCAGCAACUUUUUCUCUUUCAGGCAAAGUAUUCUUUUCUCUUUUGGUUCAAAUGGUUGAAAAAUAUGCAGGGUAUAUUUUGUGGGCAUAUACAUCUUCCUCGAGAAAAUUCUUACUGGCUAGUAGAUCUUCA
rnacentral:lncRNA from 1 species